rnacentral:rRNA from 1 species
CCUACGGGUGGCAGCAGUGGGGAAUAUUGCACAAUGGGGGGAACCCUGAUGCAGCGACGCCGCGUGAGUGAAGAAGUAUUUCGGUACGUAAAGCUCUAUCAGCAGGGAAGAAAAAAGGACGGUACCUGAGUAAGAAGCCCCGGCUAAAUACGUGACAGCAGCCGCGGUAAUGCGCAGGGGGCAAGCGUUAUCCGGAAUUACUGGGUGUAAAGGGAGCGUAGACGGCAAUGCAAGUCCUGAGUGGAAUGGGGCGGCUCAACUGCCGAAGUGGUCUGGAAACUGUAGGGCUUGAGUGCAGGAGGAGUAAGCGGAAUGCGUGGUGUAGCGGUGAAAUGCAUAGAUAUCAGGAGGAACACCGGUGGCGAAGGCGGCUUACUGGACUGUAACUGACGUUGAGGCUCGAAAGCGUGGGGAGCGAACAGGAUUAGAUACCCUAGUAGUC